rnacentral:rRNA from 1 species
AGUGAACGCUGGCGGUAGGCCUAACACAUGCAAGUCGAACGGCAGCACAGUAAGAGCUUGCUCUUACGGGUGGCGAGUGGCGGACGGGUGAGGAAUACAUCGGAAUCUACUUUUUCGUGGGGGAUAACGUAGGGAAACUUACGCUAAUACCGCAUACGACCUACGGGUGAAAGCAGGGGAUCUUCGGACCUUGCGCGAUUGAAUGAGCCGAUGUCGGAUUAGCUAGUUGGCGGGGUAAAGGCCCACCAAGGCGACGAUCCGUAGCUGGUCUGAGAGGAUGAUCGGCCGCACUGGAACGGAGACACGGUCCAGACUCCUACGGGAGGCAGCAGUGGGGAAUAUUGGACAAUAGGCGCAAGCCUGAUCCAGCCAUACCGCGUGGGUGAAGAAGGCCUUCGGGUUGGAAAGCCCUUUUGUUGGGAAAGAAAAGCAGCAGGUUAAUACCCCGCUGUUCUGACGGUACCCAAAGAAUAAGCACCGGCUAACUUCGUG